rnacentral:lncRNA from 1 species
CGCCAGUGUUAAAUUCAGUUAACUAAAGUUCAGUUAAGCUUCAGUUAAUUAAAGUUCACUUUUAAAGUUUUAGAUUCAGCUUUUAAAGUUUAAGUUCAGGUUAGAUUCAGAUUUUUAAAGUUUAUGUUCAGGUUAGAUUCAGCUUUUAAAGUUUAAGUUCAGGUUAGAUUCAGAUUUUAAAGUUCAGGUUAGAUUUUAAAGUUCAGGUUUAAGAAAUAGAGAGAGAUAGAAGAGAGAGAUAGAGAGAUUGAGAGGAGAGAAGAAAGAUUGAGAUGUCAAGAUACAGUUUUAAGUUCAGUCAGAUUCAGGUUUAGAUUUUGAUUUACAUAAGUUCAAACUUAGGUUCGGAUUUAAAUAAGUUUAAACUUAGGUUCAAAAGAUUGAGAGGAGACAAGGGAAUAUAUUGAGAUUGAGAGAAGAGAGAUUAAGAAGAGAUUAAGGGAUUGAGAUGAGAGAGGAGAGGAGAGAUGAGAUUGAGAGGAGAGAAGAGAGAUUGAGAGGAGAGGAUGCAUAUAUAUUCAGCAUGCAUAUAGAGAGAAGAGAGAUUGAGAUUGAGGUCUACAACAUGCAUAUAUAUUCAGCAAUCAAAAAGUGAG